rnacentral:rRNA from 1 species
GAUCAUGGCUCAGGAUGAACGCUGGCGGCGUGCCUAAUACAUGCAAGUAGAACGCUGAAGGAAGGAGCUUGCUCUUUCCGGAUGAGUUGCGAACGGGUGAGUAACGCGUAGGUAACCUGCCUGGUAGCGGGGGAUAACUAUUGGAAACGAUAGCUAAUACCGCAUAACAGUAGAUGUUGCAUGACAUUUGCCUAAAAGGUGCAAUUGCAUCACUACCAGAUGG